UAUACAAAUGAUUUUGUU
rnacentral:snRNA from 1 species